rnacentral:rRNA from 1 species
CACGUAGGGCGCAAGCGUUGUCCGGAAUUAUUGGGCGUAAAGAGCUCGUAGGCGGCGCGGUAAGUCGGGUGUGAAAUCUCGGAGCUUAACUCCGAAACUGCAUUCGAUACUGCCGUGCUUGAGGACUGGAGAGGAGACUGGAAUUUACGGUGUAGCGGUGAAAUGCGUAGAUAUCGUAAGGAAGACCAGUGGCGAAGGCGGGUCUCUGGACAGUUCCUGACGCUGAGGCACGAAGGCCAGGGGAGCAAACGGG